rnacentral:rRNA from 1 species
UACAGAGGUCCCAAGCGUUGUUCGGAUUCACUGGGCGUAAAGGGUGCGUAGGUGGCUUGUUAAGUCAGGGGUGAAAGUUUUCGGCCCAACCGGAAAAUGGCCUUUGAUACUGGCGAGCUCGAGUGCGUGAGGGGUAACCGGAACGAGCAGUGUAGCGGUGAAAUGCGUAGAUAUUGCUCGGAAGGCCAACGGCGAAGGCAGGUUACUGGUGCGCAACUGACACUGAGGCACGAAAGCGUGGGGAGCAAACAGG